GCAGAAGUACCCAAGAGGCUCAAGGGGCUCCCCUGCUAAGGGAGUAGCAUCAGUAAUGGUGGCACGAGUUCAAAUCUCGUCUUCUGCGCCA
rnacentral:tRNA from 2 species